GACGAACGCUGGCGGCGUGCCUAAUACAUGCCAGUUGAGCGAUGAAGAUUGGUGCUUGCACCAAUUUGAAGAGCAGCGAACGGGUGAGUAACGCGUGGGGAAUCUGCCUUUGAGCGGGGGACAACAUUUGGAAACGAAUGCUAAUACCGCAUAAUAACUUUAAACAUAAGUUUUAAGUUUGAAAGAUGCAAUUGCAUCACUCAAAGAUGAUCCCGCGUUGUAUUAGCUAGUUGGUGAGGUAAAGGCUCACCAAGGCGAUGAUACAUAGCCGACCUGAGAGGGUGAUCGGCCACAUUGGGACUGAGACACGGCCCAAACUCCUACGGGAGGCAGCAGUAGGGAAUCUUCGGCAAUGGACGAAAGUCUGGCCGAGCAACGCCGCGUGAGUGAAGAAGGUUUUCGGAUCGUAAAACUCUGUUGGUAGAGAAGAACGUUGGUGAGAGUGGAAAGCUCAUCAAGUGACGGUAACUACCCAGAAAGGGACGGCUAACUACGUG
rnacentral:rRNA from 1 species